rnacentral:lncRNA from 1 species
GUCACAUUGUGCUUAGACAUUCUCAGUUUUCUGAAAAAUUAUGAGGUUCAUGACCCCCCUGAGAAGCCCACCUUGGAAAUGAAGAUGUCUAUUGUGAGAGGAAAUGGUCUCAUAUCUCAGGAUUCUACGUGUUUUAAGAGUUGGUCCUACCUUUCUUCUCGAUCCACUUGAUCACAAAGCAACCUUUCUAGAACAUCGUUUUCGCCAUCACAAGACAGUUGGUUCCAGAUGGUAAAGCCUGAUCAUUUAAGAACUCUUGAUGGAAACAUUUUGUGAAUAGGCAAAUAGUUUCAGUGUUUUUUUCUUUUUUGGUUCUGCAUUGACUCCUCAGAGAUUUGGUUGGAAGUUGUAGGCCUAGUUUUACUUGGAAC